AGAGUUUGAUCCUGGCUCAGGAUGAACGCUGGCGGCGUGCCUAAUACAUGCAAGUCGAGCGAACAGACGAGAAGCUUGCUUCUCUGAUGUUAGCGGCGGACGGGUGAGUAACACGUGGAUAACCUACCUAUAAGACUGGGAUAACUUCGGGAAACCGGAGCUAAUACCGGAUAAUAUUUUGAACCGCAUGGUUCAAAAGUGAAAGACGGUCUUGCUGUCACUUAUAGAUGGAUCCGCGCUGCAUUAGCUAGUUGGUAAGGUAACGGCUUACCAAGGCAACGAUGCAUAGCCGACCUGAGAGGGUGAUCGGCCACACUGGAACUGAGACACGGUCCAGACUCCUACGGGAGGCAGCAGUAGGGAAUCUUCCGCAAUGGGCGAAAGCCUGACGGAGCAACGCCGCGUGAGUGAUGAAGGUCUUCGGAUCGUAAAACUCUGUUAUUAGGGAAGAACAUAUGUGUAAGUAACUGUGCACAUCUUGACGGUACCUAAUCAGAAAGCCACGGCUAACUACGUGCCAGCAGCCGCGGUAAUACGUAGGUGGCAAGCGUUAUCCGGAAUUAUUGGGCGUAAAGCGCGCGUAGGCGGUUUUUUAAGUCUGAUGUGAAAGCCCACGGCUCAACCGUGGAGGGUCAUUGGAAACUGGAAAACUUGAGUGCAGAAGAGGAAAGUGGAAUUCCAUGUGUAGCGGUGAAAUGCGCAGAGAUAUGGAGGAACACCAGUGGCGAAGGCGACUUUCUGGUCUGUAACUGACGCUGAUGUGCGAAAGCGUGGGGAUCAAACAGGAUUAGAUACCCUGGUAGUCCACGCCGUAAACGAUGAGUGCUAAGUGUUAGGGGGUUUCCGCCCCUUAGUGCUGCAGCUAACGCAUUAAGCACUCCGCCUGGGGAGUACGACCGCAAGGUUGAAACUCAAAGGAAUUGACGGGGACCCGCACAAGCGGUGGAGCAUGUGGUUUAAUUCGAAGCAACGCGAAGAACCUUACCAAAUCUUGACAUCCUUUGACAACUCUAGAGAUAGAGCCUUCCCCUUCGGGGGACAAAGUGACAGGUGGUGCAUGGUUGUCGUCAGCUCGUGUCGUGAGAUGUUGGGUUAAGUCCCGCAACGAGCGCAACCCUUAAGCUUAGUUGCCAUCAUUAAGUUGGGCACUCUAAGUUGACUGCCGGUGACAAACCGGAGGAAGGUGGGGAUGACGUCAAAUCAUCAUGCCCCUUAUGAUUUGGGCUACACACGUGCUACAAUGGACAAUACAAAGGGCAGCGAAACCGCGAGGUCAAGCAAAUCCCAUAAAGUUGUUCUCAGUUCGGAUUGUAGUCUGCAACUCGACUACAUGAAGCUGGAAUCGCUAGUAAUCGUAGAUCAGCAUGCUACGGUGAAUACGUUCCCGGGUCUUGUACACACCGCCCGUCACACCACGAGAGUUUGUAACACCCGAAGCCGGUGGAGUAACCUUUUAGGAGCUAGCCGUCGAAGGUGGGACAAAUGAUUGGGGUGAAGUCGUAACAAGGUAGCCGUAUCGGAAGGUGCGGCUGGAUCACCU
rnacentral:rRNA from 1 species